CCUACGGGAGGCAGCAGUGAGGAAUAUUGGUCAAUGGACGAGAGUCUGAACCAGCCAAGUAGCGUGAAGGAUGACUGCCCUAUGGGUUGUAAACUUCUUUUAUAUGGGAAUAAAAUGUUCCACGUGUGGGAUGUGUAUGUACCAUAUGAAUAAGGAUCGGCGAACUCCGUUCCAGCAGCCGCGGGAAUACGGAGGAUCCGAGCGUUGUCCGGAUUUAUUGGGUUUAAAGGGAGCGUGGGUGGAUUGUUACGUCAGUUUUGAACGUUUGCGGCUCAACCGUAAAAUUGCAGUUGAAACUGGCAGUCUUGAGUACAGUAGAGGUGGGCGGAAUUCGUGGUGUAGCGGUGAAAUGCUUAGAUAUCACGAAGAACUCCGAUUGCGAAGGCAGCUCACUGGACUGCAACUGACACUGCGGCUCGAAAGUGUGGGUAUCAAACAGGAUUAGAUACCCGGGUAGUC
rnacentral:rRNA from 1 species